CAGAAAUAUCUAAAUGAGCCUUCCUCCUCUCUCUUUAGGGUUUAUCAUCUGAUCCUCAGUGAAACAGGGGAGAAGAGAAUGAUGAAAUCCCUGAGUGUUUUACUACUGAUCCUGUGGCUUCAGCUGAGCUGGGUGCACAGCCAACAGAAGGCUGUGGAGCAAAGUCCUGCAGCCCUCAGUGUUCCAGAGGGAGCCAUGGCCUCCCUCAACUGCACUUACAGUGACAGUGCUUCUCAGAACUUCAUGUGGUAUCAACAGUAUUCUGGGAAAGGUCCAAAGCUGCUGAUGUUCAUAUACUCCAAUGGUGAAAAAGGUCAAGGAAGAUUCACAGCGCAGCUUGAUACAGCCAAGCGGCAUCUUUUCCUGCACAUCCGAGGCUCCCAGCUCAGUGACUCAGCCACCUACCUCUGUGCAGUGAGCACACAGUGCUCCCCAGGAACCUGCAGCUGCACAGAAACCUACUGUCUCAGGAGGCCUGAGGUAGAGCAUAGACCACAGAGAAGAGAGUCUUUUGUGCUCUAAAUGUGAUGGGAAUUAAGAGUAAUAAACAUUGCAUUAGGAGUGUAAUCCCCAAACAGUAAUUCAAAGGGAAGAAAGGAGUCAAGAAAAAAAUCCAAUUUGGGAAAGUG